ensembl:lncRNA
AAAAUGGGCCCUCCUGACCGUCGGGACUUGCACUGUGGGUGACUCCGUCUCCUUAGACGGUAGAGCCUGCGUGACCCAGAGAGGCCAUGGAGUCUCGCUCUGUCACCCAGGUUGGAGUGCAAUAGCGCGAUCUCUGCUCUCAUUGUAACCUCUGCCUCCCGGGAUCAAGCAAUUCUCCCACCUCAGCCUCCUGAGUAGCUGGGAUUACAGGCACCCGCCACCAAGCCCGGUUUCAAUACAACAACUGCCCGACCUUCCUUACUGUCAGAGACCAGCAACCACAGAGCGGUUCCGGCUGGUCUGUGGAGGAUGUACAGUGAGGGUCUUCGUGUCCUCUGCUUCACCUUUUGAUCAGAAGGCUGAAUACUCCAUCAGUGGAUCAUGGCUCAGGACUCAGAGGAGAGAGGAGUGUGGUCUACACUUCACAUCUCUGCCAAGCCUGGCACUGGAUUUGAAGUUCCACACCACUGAGCCAAACACAUCCAGACUCUCUUCCAACCCGGGGAUCUGGUGGUAAGCAAAAUGAUAUUCCAGCAAGUGAUGCCCCUAAUCUCCUAAGGAUAUAAGCUCUCCCAAGACGGUGAGCUCAGCGGAGGCCCCCAGAGAAACAUGCUAUGCGGGAGGAGAGUUUCCCCAUAAGACAGACCGUCCUUCAGCCCCGGCCACCAAAGAGGAGCAACACGGGCCUGCUGUUCUCCAGGACUGAAUGCGGCUGCAUCCUUCCCUUCCUCUGCUUCCUGCUCCCGUACCUACUGAUGGUGCACACGUGGGGCCUGGGGAAGCUGGGUAUCUAACCCACAGUGCAGCUACGGAUGGGAAAUUCUGGGCAGGGACGAGCCUGUCUUCCCCCGGGGAAUUCCCUCCCAUGUUGCACAGGGCAGAGUGGGAGUGGAGGAGGGCAGAGGACAUGUCUCAGGGCCAGUAACCUAGGCUUACAGAAGACGUCAUCACUGUCCUCAUGACGUUCACCCUGUCUCCUGUUUUUUGGGGCCAUGUAUUCCGAAAUGUAUUUUCAACUCAUCACAGGGGCAAAAAGAAGUGAUGAGUCUGUGGCAGCAGAAAUCUGGGAAUCCAAGGGUCAUGCUACAUCUAGUCCUCUUUGGUAAAUUCUGCCUUCCUGUUCACACUUUUCGAGAAACCAUUUUGAAUUCCCAAACAGCAAAGGAAAUGCUGCAGGUUCCUGGAGGGACCUGGUGAUCCGGGGCAGAGCACACAGAGUCGAGAUUGCUGUGGGGUUCACGGGCCUCCCCUCCCGGGACCAGGGGCACCUGGGCAGGGGAGUCUGCACCAUGCGGGAAAGCCCAGUACACGCAGCUGCUCACCACUGCAGACUCCACAGUGCAGGGCUGACAAGGCCUCCCUCUUUAUCUGCCCUGGACCACAAGUGGAAAAGAUGAAGACAAAGCAAAAGCCAAUAUCCCUUAAGAACUUUCC